rnacentral:lncRNA from 1 species
UACACCUGUACUACACCACAUGACUGAGUUACUGUACGGACAGGUUACACCUGUACUACACCACAUGACUGAGUUACUGUACGGACAGGUUACACCGUACUACACCACAUGACUGAGUUACUGUACGGACAGGUUACACCUGUACUACACCACAUGACUGAGUUACUGUACGGACAGGUUACACCUGUACUACACCACAUGACUGAGUUACUGUACGGACAGGUAACACCUGUACUACACCACAUGACUGAGUUACUGACAGGUUACACCUGUACUACACCACAUGACUGAGUUACUGUACGGACAGGUUACGCCUGUACUACACCACAUGACUGAGUUACUGUACGGACAGGUUACGCCUGUACUACACCACAUGACUGAGUUACUGUACUGACAGGUAACACCUGUACUACACUACAUGACUGAGUUACUGUACGGACAGGUUACACCUGUACUACACCACAUGACUGAGUUACUGUACGGACACAACACCUGUACUACACCACAUGACUGAGUUACUGUACGGACAGGUAACACCUGUACUACACCACAUGACUGAGUUACUGUACGGACAGGUUACACCUGUACUACACCACAUGACAUAGUUACUGUACGGACAGGUUACACCUGUACUACACCACAUGACUGAGUUACUGUAUGGACAGGUAACACCUGUACUACACCACAUGACUGAGUUACUGUACGGACAGGUUACACCUGUACUACACCACAUGACUGAGUUACUGUACGGACAGGUUACACCUGUACUACACCACAUGACUGAGUUACUGUACGGACAGGUAACACCUGUACUACACUACAUGACUGAGUUACUGUACGGACAGGUUACACCUGUACUACACCACAUGACUGAGUUACUGUACGGACACAACACCUGUACUACACCACAUGACUGAGUUACUGUACGGACAGGUAACACCUGUACUACACCACAUGACUGAGUUACUGUACGGACAGGUUACACCUGUACUACACCACAUGACUGAGUUACUGUACGGACAGGUUACACCUGUACUACACCACAUGACUGAGUUACUGUACGGACACAACACCUGUACUACACCACAUGACUGAGUUACUGUACGGACAGGUUACACCUGUACUACACCACAUGACUGAGUUACUGUACGGACAGGUUACACCUGUACUACACCACAUGACUGAGUUACUGUACGGACAGGUUACACCUGGACCUCUGGCCAGGUAAACACUAUUGCAAGUUAGUCCCAAAUGGCCCUCUAUUCCCUCGAAAGUGCGCUUCUGUUGACCAGAUUGCUACGGGUUAGUCCUACGGGCCCUGGUCUAAAGUAGUGUACUGUAUAGGAAAUGUAGUGCCAUUUUGGACACAUACCAUGUUCUGAGAACCACCUCGCUGACCGUUCACACUAGAUCCCUCCCUCCCUCCACACAGUUAGUCAGUACCUAGCUCACAGUUGAAGUCCUCCCUCCCUCCCUCCCU